UAAAUUUGAAAUGGCGAACAAUCAAAAAUAAAUUUGUGAAGUAAAUUACAAUCAUUAUUAAAUACAAAGAAAAUUAUAUGGAUAGAGGUAACAUGUAAUUUUUGUUACUUAAUUUCAAAGUAGUUACAAAAAUUAUCAAUACACUUUACAACUAAAGGCAUCUUUGGACAGUCAUCUAUAGAAGUGCAGGGAAUGGUAGCUGCUUUGUCAAAUAAGAAAGAGAAUUGUUAGUUAAAGGUGAUAAAAUAUUUUGUUUAAGAUAAGUUAGAAAAUUUGAAAAUGGUAUGAAAAAUUGCAUACUUGUGGUCAUUUCAACAAGAAUUGGAGAAAGAAAAUUGAUCAAAGCAAAAACAAAUAUGAGAAUUUGACCCAUGUUUUUCUUCCUUU
rnacentral:lncRNA from 1 species